GUACUCUCACACUCCCAAUCCCUUGGAUUGGGAGCGGUGGACUUGGGUGUUGCCGCUUGACUGAGGCUCACCUGAAAUAUGUUAGUGCAUCUCUUGAUUGGACAUAGUACGGCGUGAUAAGUGUCUUCGCCGGCUCCUCGCAAGAGGGUGGCCGAUCGGGAGCUCUGUUGCUUCAAACUGUCUUCGGACAAUCUUCUGGCA
rnacentral:misc_RNA from 1 species